GAUGGCUGGUAUAGAAUCCUACAUGUUUGGGACUCAGUGAUCGAGAAUCAGGAUUCUCUGAUCACGAGUUCCACACAUUAUGGGUACCGAGGUCAAGAGUCCCACUGGUUGGGACUUUUCGAUCAGGGUUACAUAUCGAUGAAUUUUGAUGCCCGAUUGCCCAUCAAAUUUGGACUCAGUAUUUAUGAGAGGUUUAAUUAGUGAUUUGAUUGCUAAUUAACUCAAUUUGAUUGAGUAAUUAUUUUUGGAUCAAGUCCAAUUGAAUUG
rnacentral:lncRNA from 1 species